CCUACGGGUGGCAGCAGUGGGGGAUAUUGGACAAUGGGGGGAACCCUGAUCCAGCGACGCCGCGUGAGUGAAGAAGUAGCUCGGUAUGUAAAGCUCUAUCAGCAGGGAAGAAGAAAUGACGGUACCUGAGUAAGAAGCCCCGGCUAACUACGUGACAGGAGCCGCGGUAAUGCGUAGGGGGAAAGCGGUAGCCGGAAUUACGGGGUGUAAAGGGGGGGUAGUAGGUGAAGUAAGACUGAGUUGAAUGGCGGGGGUCCAACACCCCGACUGCUCUGGAAACUGUGUGACGGGAGUGCAGGAGAGGUGAGCGGAAUUGCUAGUGUAGCGGUGAAAUGCGUAGAUAUUAGGAGGAACACCAAUGGCGAAGGCAGCUCACUGGGCUGUAACUGACGUUGAGGCUCGAAAGCGUGGGGAGCAAACAGGAUUAGAUACCCGUGUAGUC
rnacentral:rRNA from 1 species